GACAGAGGGUGCAAGCGUUGUUCGGAAUUAUUGGGCGUAAAGGGCGCGUAGGCGGCUUUGUAAGUCAGAUGUGAAAUCCCGGGGCUCAACCCCGGAACUGCCUUUGAUACUGGUAGUCUCGAGUCCGGAAGAGGUGAGUGGAAUUCCGAGUGUAGAGGUGAAAUUCGUAGAUAUUCGGAGGAACACCAGUGGCGAAGGCGGCUCACUGGUCCGGUACUGACGCUGAGGUGCGAAAGCGUGGGGAGCAAACAGG
rnacentral:rRNA from 1 species